rnacentral:rRNA from 1 species
GAUGAACGCUGGCGGCGUGCUUAACACAUGCAAGUCGAACGAAGCACUUGAUUUGAUUUCUUCGGAAUGAAGAUUUUGUGACUGAGUGGCGGACGGGUGAGUAACGCGUGGGUAACCUGCCUCAUACAGGGGGAUAACAGUUGGAAACGACUGCUAAUACCGCAUAAGCGCACAGGAUUGCAUGAUCCAGUGUGAAAAACUCCGGUGGUAUGAGAUGGACCCGNGUCUGAUUAGCUUGUUGGCGGGGUAAUGGCCACCAAGGCGACGAUCAGUAGCCGACCUGAGAGGGUGACCGGCACGAUUGGGGACUGAGACACGGGUCCAAAACUCCUACGGGAGGCAGCAGUGAGGAUAUGGUCAAUGGACGAGAGUCUGAACCAGCCAAGUAGCGUGAAGGAUGA